GCUCCACUAGCCCAAUUGGGAGAGGCAACGGUCUUAAACGCCGAAAAGUCCAAGUUCGAAUCUUGGGUGGAGUA
rnacentral:tRNA from 1 species